rnacentral:rRNA from 1 species
AGAAUCAACGCUGGCGGCGUGCCUAACACAUGCAAGUCGAACGAGAAAGUGGAGCAAUCCAUGAGUAAAGUGGCGACCGGGUGAGUAACACGUGACUAACCUACCUUCGAGUGGGGGAUAACCUCGGGAAACCGAGGCUAAUACCGCAUAACAUCGUGAGAUCAAAAGCAGUAAUGCGCUGGAAGGAGGGGGUCGCGGCUGAUUAGCUAGGUUGGCGGGUAAUGGCCCACAAGGCGAAGAUCGGUA